rnacentral:rRNA from 1 species
GUCUAUGGCCAUACCACCCUGCAUGCACUCAAUCUCAUCUGAUCUCAGAAGUUAAGCAGAGUCGGGCCUGGUUAGAAAGUAAAUAAGCUAGAAAUCAAUUGAGCAUAUGGUUCUCCAGAUG